GAUGAACGCUGGCGGCGUGCUUAACACAUGCAAGUCGAACGGGAAAUACUUCAUUGAGACUUCGGUGGAUUUGAUUUAUUUCUAGUGGCGGACGGGUGAGUAACGCGUGAGUAACCUGCCUUCAAGAGGGGGAUAACAUUCUGAAAAGAAUGCUAAUACCGCAUGAUAUAUCGGAACCACAUGGUUUUGAUAUCAAAGAUUUUAUCGCUUGAAGAUGGACUCGCGUCCGAUUAGUUAGUUGGUGAGGUAACGGCUCACCAAGACCGCGAUCGGUAGCCGGACUGAGAGGUUGAACGGCCACAUUGGGACUGAGACACGGCCCAGACUCCUACGGGAGGCAGCAGUGGGGGAUAUUGCGCAAUGGGGGCAACCCUGACGCAGCAACGCCGCGUGAAGGAUGAAGGUUUUCGGAUUGUAAACUUCUUUUAUUAAGGACGAAAAAUGACGGUAC
rnacentral:rRNA from 1 species